AGAUAUGAUUGUAGAACCAUUAAUAAAGAUAAAAAUGAAAAAACCGCUCUAGCUGCUCAUCACUUCAACGAAGACCACAAUUUCGAUUUCGAGAACGUCACCAUCUUGGAAAAGGAAAAAAAUUAUAAAAGGAGAUGUAUCGGUGAGAUGGUUCAUAUUUCUUUGAACGAGACGGUGAAUUUGAGGACUGACGUACAGAAUUUGAGCACAAUAUAUCACAAUAUUUUAGAGAGGUAUAAACGGAUGAUUCGUUCUUGAAGAAUUUCAGGAACAUACCUGCUACUGUGAUAUUAGAUUACCAUAUGACGCUCGAUGCUCUGUAUACGUCAGAUAAUACGGAGUCUGGUUCAGUUGUUUAUUGUAGGAAACGAAAGUUUUUAAAUAUUUUUUAUCUAUUGACAAAUGGACCUUUAUAUUGAGUUUUUAAAAGAAUUGACGACACAGUUUCAUGUCCACCUCAGAAUAUUAUGAGGGAUAAUCCAUAUGAAUAGCCUUGAAAAAGACCAGAAAUAAAGGUCGAAACGUCGGCAUCUCAUUAAGGAUUUUUAUUUUCCCCUGUCCUCUUUGCCACUACAUGGUUGAUUAUAUU